GGAUAGGUCACAAAUUUCCAACAUGUUAAGAAAUGUCAAGAAGUCCCUCUUCAUGACCUUUAUCACCACACAAAAGGUCCUCAGCAUCCCUAAACUCUCUAGCAAAGGUCACAACGCUUCCUCGCCAUCCCCAACACACCAUACAAAAGGUCAAAAUAGCUUCUUCAUGACCUUUACCAAUACACAAACGUUCCUAUAGUAUUCCGAAACACUAGCAAAGGUCAUACACUUCCUCGCCAUCCCCAACACACUAUGAAAAGGUCAAAAUAGCUUCUUCAUGACCUUAACCAAUACACAAACGUUCCGAUAGCAUUCCGAAACACUAGAAAAGGUCACAACUCUUCUCCGUCAUCCCCAACACAUUAUAA